UGGGGGAUAUUGCACAAUGGGCGAAAGCCUGAUGCAGCGACGCCGCGUGGGGGAUGAAGGCUUUCGGGUUGUAAACCUCUUUCGCUAUCGAACAAGGCCCGCUUAGGGUGGGUUGAGGGUAGGUGGAGAAGAAGCGCCGGCUAACUACGUGCCAGCAGCCGCGGUAAUACGUAUGGCGCGAGCGUUGUCCGGAAUUAUUGGUCGUAAAGGGCUUGUAGGCGGCUUGUUGCGCCUGCUGUGAAAACGCGGGGCUUAACUUCGCGCGUGCAGUGGGUACGGGCAGGGUUGGGUGUGGUAGGGGUGACUGGAAUUCCAGGUGUUGCGGAGGAAUGCGCUGAUCUCUUGAGGAACACCGAUGGCGGAGGCAGGUCACUGGGGCAUUACUGACGCUGAGGAGCGAAAGCAUGGGUAGCGAACAGG
rnacentral:rRNA from 1 species